GAUAAACGCUGGCGGCGCACAUAAGACAUACAAGUCGAACGGACUUAACCAUUAGUUUACUAUUGGAGCGGUUAGUGGCGGACUGGUGAGUAACACGUAAGCAACCUGCCUAUCAGAGGGGAACAACAGUUAGAAAUGACUGCUAAUACCGCAUAUGCCUAAGUACCACAUGGUACAAUAGGGAAAGGAGUAAUCCGCUGAUAGAUGGGCUUGCGUCUGAUUAGAUAGUUGGUGGGGUAAUGGCCUACCAAGUCGACGAUCAGUAGCCGGACUGAGAGGUUGAACGGCCACAUUGGGACUGAGAUACGGCCCAGACUCCUACGGGAGGCAGCAGUCGGGAAUAUUGCGCAAUGGAGGAAACUCUGACGCAGUGACGCCGCGUGCAGGAAGAAGGUUUUCGGAUUGUAAACCUCUGUGGACAGGGACGAUAAUGACGGUACCUGUUUAGAAAGCCACGGCUAACUACGUG
rnacentral:rRNA from 1 species